UACGUAGGGAGCGAGCGUUGUCCGGAAUCAUUGGGCGUAAAGCGCGCGUAGGCGGCCCGAUAAGUCCGCUGUAAAAGUCAACGGCUCAACUGUUGAAAGCCGGUGGAUACUGUCGGGCUAGAGUACGGAAGAGGCAAGUGGAAUUCCUGGUGUAGCGGUGAAAUGCGUAGAGAUCAGGAAGAACACCGGUGGCGAAGGCGCUCUGCUAGGCCGCAACUGACACUGAGGGACGAAAGCUAGGGGAGCGAAUGGG
rnacentral:rRNA from 1 species